rnacentral:lncRNA from 14 species
UCCAAGUGCUGGGAUAAUAGGCCUGUACCACCAUAGCUGGCUAACACUGUAUGAUCUUCAUGUUCAGGCUCAGCAGGGGAAAAUUGCUGCUGAAGAAGAGGACGUUGGAGAAGACAGUCAGUUUAUGAUGCUAGCCAAGAAAGUCACAGCCAAGGCACUGCAAAAGAAUGCCAGUCGUGCCGUGGCUGUUCAGGAAUCGAAGUCUGUGCUCAGUAACCCUUUUGAAACCAUCAGAGCGGGAGGUGCUCACCAGCUGAAGACAGGCUCCCUGCUAAACCAGCCCAAAGCUGUGCUUCAAAAACUCGCUACCCUGUCUGACCUCAACCCCAGCGCUCCCCGAAACUCAAGAAACUUUGUCUUCCAUACACUUUCUCCCACCAAGGCAGAGACAGCAAAGAGUUCAUCUAAGCCUCAGGUGAGAAGAAGGGGACCAUCGUCAAUGAUGUCACCGUCCCCUAAGCGGCUGAAGACAAAUGAUAGCAGUCCAGGACCAAAGCGAAGCAUCUUCAGAUACUUGGAAAGCUAACACCAUCCGGGAUGCCAGUGUCUGUGGAAAGUACUCAAAGUAGGUCCAGCACGGAGGGGUGGGACUGCUGUUUCUGCCGAUGACCUCUCCUUCCCUCAGCACCAACACAUUACGAGCAGAGCUUCCCCUUCUCCCCACCACACAGCUCUCCACAGCAUUUUCUUUCCUAGUUAUUUUUUAGUUUGGCCACCAGAGUUCCCAGCAUCGACUUACAGAAUAAUUGAAGUCUCACUUCUUCCGUUAAGCACUUGACAUUUUCUUCCUAGCAGUUUCCUGGGUUGACACCACUUUCAAGUAGAGGUGUUCGUUGGAGGAAGAAAGUGUGGCAUUAUAGAAAAUUACAGAAAGCACUGAAAGCCAGCACUGGGAUGAGGCCUCCACAGCCACGCAACCUCUAACCCAGUAACCAGGCCAAGAAGCACAGUCCUGUCCUUCUGUGUCUUGUAAGCUUCUAGCCUUGAUCUCUGAUUAACCUUUAUCGCCUUUGAAAUAAGGACGUAAGCUGGUACCUAGUUGAGAAAGAGGCUGUCCCUCACUUUCUGCAGUGUGGGAGGAAGAUAAAGGUUAAACCCAGUGUCCAUCCGCACUGGAUAAUCAAUGGAGAACAGACCUUCCCUGGGACUGGAGGAGUCUCAACUAACAGCAUUUGUUGGAGAGCCUCCCUCCCUUCUGCAGAAACCCGACCACUAUUUAUUGCUGCUCUCGGGCCGAGUUUCUUGGCCUGACCAUCAGAGACCACUUUACUACUUCAUCACUAAUGUUGGGAGCAGACCAGCAGAAUUAGUAAAAACGUUGCAGAGAGCCGCCAUUAGUUGCUUUCUUCCACCAGCCACUGGGCUUUCAGAAACGUAGACCAACUCCCUCCCGUUGCUGCUUUGCAAAAGCCAUUGCAGGGGAGAGGUGGGCGAGUGUGGAAGCGAGCGUGGGAGGCUGGGGGAGGCCGUGUCCAUCUUUUACUGAGAGACAGAACGCAGCCCAUUCAACUGACGAAACGAGGAUGGAGGUUUUCUGUUGGGUGCUAGGGCUCUUUGGUUUUGUUUUUUUCUAAUCCUCAGGAUAAGGAUACUGACUUGGACCGAACACACAGUUGUACAUUUGUAAUCUUGUAAUGGGAGAGAUGUGUAUAAAGCUGUUUUAAUAUGUAUGUAGUUUUCAAUAAAUCUCACUGCCCCGAGGGCAGGGUUUGCUGU